rnacentral:rRNA from 1 species
UAGGGAAUCUUCCGCAAUGGGCGAAAGCCUGACGGAGCAACGCCGCGUGAGUGAUGACGGUCUUCGGAUCGUAAAACUCUGUUAUUAGGGAAGAACAAAUGUGUAAGUAACUAUGCACGUCUUGACGGUACCUAAUCAGAAAGCCACGGCUAACUACGUGCCAGCAUCCGCGGUAAUACGUAGGUGGCAAGCGUUAUCCGGAAUUAUUGGGCGUAAAGCGCGCGUAGGCGGUUUUUUAAGUCUGGUGUGAAAGCCCACGGCUCAACCGUGGAGGGUCAUUGGAAACUGGAAAACUUGAGUGCAGAAGAGGAAAGUGGAAUUCCAGGUGUAGCGGUGAAAUGCGCAGAGAUAUGGAGGAACACCAGUGGCGAAGGCGACUUUCUGGUCUGUAACUGACGCUGAUGUGCGAAAGCGUGGGGAUCAAACAGG